UUUGUCUUUCUGCCCUCCCCUCCAAUAGUGGCAUCUCCUCCUGGGGCCACUGUGCAGGAGUGAGUUAUUUGCUCACUAAUCACACCAUACUAAACCCUAAACUCACUCCAGGACUGCUCUCCCAGCCCAGUGGGUAGCCUUUGCCAUGGAUUGGUGGAAGGAACUUGGGCCUGGAACUCCCUGGUCCCACCUGAGUCUGGCCACUCUCUCUGGCUGUAAAGGUGGAGUUUAGAGGACGGGCACUCCAGGCUCUUUAGGAGACUCCUCUAGAUAGAACCAGAGAGGGAGAAUGGGAGCCCAUUUAACUAAAGCCAAAAAAAAUAGAUUUUUUUCAUUUUACUCCCUUGCUGUUUUGUUGUUGUUGUUUUGAGUUUAGGAGCAGAGGUUUAAUAGGCAAAGGGAAAAGGAGAACAGCUCUCUCUCAGACAGAGGGGCACCCAAAUGGGAAUUCCCGCUAACUGGUAAUUUGAUGAGAAAUA
rnacentral:lncRNA from 10 species